GGCCAGUCUACCUUCAACAGGGAUGGUGAGGGAGGCUUCUCUGGGGGAGUGAUGUUUAGGCUGACACCUGCAGAAUGGGCAAGAGAUAGCAGGAGAGAGGUCCGGGAAGGGCAUCAGAGAAAUAGCCCUUACACAAAAUGGAGGCAGAGUAGAUCCUCGUGAGCUACAGAAAUGGAAAGAAGCCCAACAUACCUCAGAAGGAAGAAGUGAGAAAGAAGAAAGAGAUAUACCUGGAGAGGCAGAAGAAUGCAUCGAACUCCAGAACAAACUUGAGCAUUCCUACUUGGAAGUUCCUGAAAUGCUUGGUUUCCAGAUUUAACAAUAAUAACAAUAAUAAAAACAUUCUUUCAGGAGCUUCUGUGGGACUACUUGAGCAGCUGCAAAAAUUUUUUUUCUGACAACUAAAAAUAUUCAGUAGGUAAGCAUCACUAACUAUUUUAAUGGGCUAAAUUUUUAUUUUACAAUCCUAAAGCCUUGC
rnacentral:lncRNA from 1 species